UACGUAGGUGGCAAGCGUUAUCCGGAUUUAUUGGGCGUAAAGGGAACGCAGGCGGUCUUUUAAGUCUGAUGUGAAAGCCUUCGGCUUAACCGGAGUAGUGCAUUGGAAACUGGGAGACUUGAGUGCAGAAGAGGAGAGUGGAACUCCAUGUGUAGCGGUGAAAUGCGUAGAUAUCACGCAGAACCCCGAUUGCGAAGGCAGCCUUCCGGCGCCCUACUGACGCUGAGGCACGAAAGUGCGGGGAUCGAACAGG
rnacentral:rRNA from 1 species